rnacentral:rRNA from 1 species
GGGUUAAAUUAAUAAUAUAAUUAUAAUAAAAGAAAUUUUAAUAUUAAAAAGAAAUAAUGGGGGUUUAAGUAUUUUUAAUAGAAAAAAUUAAUAUUUUUAUAGUUUAAUAUUACUGUAAAGGAAUUUAUAAAUAAAUGAAAAAUAAUUAAUUUAAAAGUAAAUUUAAAUUAUUGUAUCUUGUGUAUCAGAGUUUAUUAAAUAAUAAAAAUUUAUUUAAAUAAAUCUCGAAUUUAAAAGAGUUAAUUAAUUAAAAAAGUUAAUGUUGAAUAAUUAUUUUAAAUAAUUAAUUUGAAAUGAAAUGUUAAUCGUUUUUAAAUAUAUCUAGUUUUUUUAGAAAAAAAUUUAAUUUUAUAUUUAAAUAAUUUUAUAAUUAUUUAAUUAAUUAUAAAAAUUUAAAAUUUAAUAUUUUAGGGGAUAAGCUUUAAAUUAAAAAUUUAUAAUAAAAAUUAAUUUAAAUUAAAAUUUUUAAUAUUUAUAUUGUUUAAAAAUUAUAAUUUAUUAUAAAAAAUUUUAAUUAAUAAUAAAAUUUAAGUAAAAAUUUAAAUUUUUAUAAAAAAAAUAAUUUUUAAUAAUAAAAAAUUAGAAAUAAUGAUAAAAUUAGUAUAAUGUAUAAAUUAAACAAAAAUUAAUUUUAAGUUAAAUUAAAGGAAUUCGGCAAAAAUUUAUAUUCACUUGUUUAUCAAAAACAUGUCUUUUUGAUAAUAAUUUAAAGUCUAAUCUGCCCACUGAUAUUAUAUUAAAGGGCUGCAGUAUAUUGACUGUACAAAGGUAGCAUAAUCAUUAGUCUUUUAAUUGAAGACUUGUAUGAAAGAUUUGAUGAAAUAUAAACUGUCUCUAAUUUAUGAUUAGAAAUUAAUUUUUUAGUUAAAAAGCUAAAAUAAAAUUAAAAGACGAGAAGACCCUAUAGAGUUUUAUAUUUUAUUUAUUAAUUAUUAAAUAUAAAAUUAAAUAUGAUUAGUUAAAUAAAGUAUUUUAUUGGGGUGAUAAAAAAAUUUAAUAAACUUUUUUUAAAAAGUUACAUUGAUAAGUGAAUAAUUGAUCCAUUAUUAGUGAUUAUAAGAAAAAAUUACCUUAGGGAUAACAGCGUAAUAUUUUUUUUUAGUACAAAUAAAAAAAAGAGAUUGCGACCUCGAUGUUGGAUUAAGAUAAAAUUUAAAUGCAAAAGUUUAAAAUUUUGAUCUGUUCGAUCAUUAAAAUCUUACAUGAUCUGAGUUCAAACCGGUGUAAGCCAGGUUGGUUUCUAUCUUUAAUAAAAUAAAAUAUUUUAGUACGAAAGGAUCAAAUAUUUAAAAUAAUUUUAUUUAAUAUGAAUUUUAAUAAAAUAGUUUUA